rnacentral:rRNA from 1 species
AUUGAACGCUGGCGGCAGGCCUAACACAUGCAAGUCGAGCGGAUGAAGGGAGCUUGCUCCUGGAUUCAGCGGCGGACGGGUGGGUAAUGCCUAGGAAUCUGCCUGGUAGUGGGGGAUAACGUCCGGAAACGGGCGCUAAUACCGCAUACGUCCUGAGGGAGAAAGUGGGGGAUCUUCGGACCUCACGCUAUCAGAUGAGCCUAGGUCGGAUUAGCUAGUUGGUGGGGUAAAGGCCUACCAAGGCGACGAUCCGUAACUGGUCUGAGAGGAUGAUCAGUCACGCUGGAACUGAGACACGGUCCAGACUCCUACGGGAGGCAGCAGUGGGGAAUAUUGGACAAUGGGCGAAAGCCUGAUCCAGCCAUGCCGCGUGUGUGAAGAAGGUCUUCGGAUUGUAAAGCACUUUAAGUUGGGAGGAAGGGCAGUAAGUUAAUACCUUGCUGUUUUGACGUUACCAACAGAAUAAGCACCGGCUAACUUCGUG